GGGCAUAUAGCUCAGCUGGAUAGAGCAACAGCCUUCUAAGCUGUGGGUCGCAGGUUCGAAUCCUGCUAUGCUCGCCA
rnacentral:tRNA from 1 species